UCCUGGCUGGCAUCUCAUGCAGGGUUGGCUUGUGAACCCCGGAAUGGCCAGCGCCCUGGCAGAGGGAAGCUGAGGUGUCAGAACAGUGGCCUCGCAGGAGCCUGCAUCUUACAGAGACUCAAGGGCUCCGAGCUUGGGGACGAGACAGUUAAAGUCUCCCUGUGCGCGCGCGUUAUAUCACACAGCGCCGGUGCCAGGUCAGCAGUCUGGCUGGAGCUCGGACGUGGCUGGUCGUGCCAGGAGGUGCCAAGCCACCCUGCCAGCCCUGAAGAAGGUUCCCAAAUCCAGGUUUCCUUCUGCAGCCCGGAGGAUGCUUUGACGACUGUCUCAUGAAAGGAUACUAGGAGCUGCCCUGGUGCUUCCCAGACAAGCCACGGUGGAACACGGGACUCUCCCGGCUGGGAGCCCACUGCUGCUGUAACAAAGGCAGCCCAGGCGAGACCCUGCUCAGUGGCUCCAUGACACGGUCAGAGGACACAGCACAACCUGGCGAUGGUUGGGAUACUGACCCAGAGCUCGGGACCCUAUUUGCAGCAGCACCCACUCAGCCUGAGAGAACUCUGGGAGUAACAGGUGGACUGGAAAGCCAGGUCGACUGCAAAUGGGGCUUCUAAGCAUUGCUUACGUGACUUGUGCAGACCUGCUGGCGAAGAGAACCGGAAAACAUCGAGACGCUAGUGUCCAGUCACUGAAGCUGCAGGGCCAGGCCCCAGCCGUCAUUCCAGGGAGCAACGCUCUGCAAGAUUUGUGCUUGUUUGUUUUGUACAUUUGUUUAUUUUUUCUGUACAUUAUCUUGCACAGCAACGCAAGAGCAUUUGCAGAAAUGGAAAUUCUCACAUCUUUCUCAAUAAGUUUAAUGUCUUUGUUAAACAACCAAUUUUUAAAGCCACCUUAUUCAUACAUUUGUUAGCAACAAUCAGCAGUUAAACAGAUCCUAUAAACAAUCAUAAGUAUAGUUUUUCAGUUUAUUAAGUUCUUUCUAUCGGCCAACCACUGAGCUAAACACAGUGAUUCACUUAUCUUAUUUAAUCCUCAAAAUAAUCCUGUGUAUUAGGCACUCUUAUCCCCACUUUGCUUAUUAAGUAAAAAAAAUAUAUGUUUGGUGACUUGGAGCUGAGAUUAAACCAUGUCUGUGGGACUCCAAGGCCUGGAUCUUCUCAGCUCAGCAACACUGGGGAUGUCAAACGUGGAAGAGCGCUUGGAUGCUGUCCUCUCCAGCUUCUUCAUGGGACAGAUGGGGGAACCGUGGCGCACACAGCUUGUUGAAGACAGUCCAAGCUUAGAAACCAGAUUUCCUGCUGCCCCGUCCAAUGAUGCUCUAACUACAAAGCGUUGCGAAAGGAAAAUUCUGUGGAGUCAGUUCUGUCCAUUAUCUGCCCAUUCUUAAUAAAGGGUGGUUUUCCUGUGGAA